AAGCCCAAUAUGAUAAAUAAAGAUAGUAAGAAGGGAAAUAGGGUAGAGGAGACUCAUUUCUAUUUUGCUGGUUUUUUUUCAAAGAAUAGAAGUGGAGGAGAGGAACAAGAAGAGGAAGCUAGGGUUUUGGAGGAGAAAACAAGAGGUUCUGGAGUUUAGUAGCCACGUGUGAUCUAGCCGGAGGUUCUUCCUUGGUUGUUGGAGACUAGGUAGUGAGUCAAUGCUCUGGUCAUGUAACACUGGGUAGACUAGGUGUAUUGAACUCAUGUUAUAUUUGCGUAUGUAUUAUGCUAUGACUGGUGAACUUAUUUAUUGGUUACAUGUCUUUUGAGAGGCUUACAGGCCAAACCAUUUGAUUAUGUUUAUGUUGAAUUGAGAUUACUAGUCGAUGUAUGAUCAUGGUAUGGGACAUGAAUCAUUAUAAAUCACAUGAGUAUCAUA